UUAUUAUUAUUAUUAUCUUAAAUAGAAAAUGUUAUGGAAGUUGGUGAAUAGUUUUUGGAGAAUAGUUUUAGGAGAAACAUUUUCCAAAUUGCCAUCUAUUCAAGUUGAAUGUCCAUGGUCGAUGUUUAUCUAAAUUUACCAUGUUUAUGAUAGAUGCUUAUCUAAAUUUAGAAUUUAAACAUGUUUGGAUUUAUUUGGUAUAUUUUUGUAUACUUUCACACUUUGGCAAACUAAUUUUGAAUUGGAUUGAUUUGUUGAUGGACAGAAAUUGGCUCGUCAAACUUGGAUUGUUUUCUCUUAGACUACUAGUUGUCAAAUAUAUUUGUUGAUUUGAAUAAUAUCUAGUCGCUUCAAUUUACCUUCCUUAGUGCCAUAUAAUUUUUUGGUGAAUCUUUUAUUUAAAUUAAUGUAGUAAAGGAUAGUGUUUUAAUUGAACU
rnacentral:lncRNA from 1 species